GGAUUAUGUCUCGUAGUGACCUGCGGAGGGAUCAUUACUGAGUGAGGGCCUUCGGGCUCGACCUCCAACCCUUUGUGAACACAACUUGUUGCUUCGGGGGCGACCCUGCCGUUUCGACGGCGAGCGCCCCCGGAGGCCUUCAAACACUGCAUCUUUGCGUCGGAGUUUAAGUAAAUUAAACAAAACUUUCAACAACGGAUCUCUUGGUUCUGGCAUCGAUGAAGAACGCAGCGAAAUGCGAUAAGUAAUGUGAAUUGCAGAAUUCAGUGAAUCAUCGAAUCUUUGAACGCACAUUGCGCCCCUUGGUAUUCCGAGGGGCAUGCCUGUUCGAGCGUCAUUUCACCACUCAAGCCUGGCUUGGUAUUGGGCGCCGCGGUCAAUCCGCGCGCCUCAAAGUCUCCGGCUGAGCUGUCCGUCUCUAAGCGUUGUGAUUUCAUUAAUCGCUUCGGAGUGCGGGCGGCCGCGGCCGUUAAAUCUUUCAAAGGUUGACCUCGGAUCAGGUAGGGAUACCCGCUGAACUUAAGCAUAUCAAAAGG
rnacentral:rRNA from 1 species